AGUCUUCAGAGGACGGGGGCCUGGGGGGUCAGGUCUGCGGUGACCCUGCGUCAUGAUGGGGGCUCAUUUGCACCCCUCCUUCAGCCGCCCCCCAGCUGCGUGAGCACCUACCUCCUGCAUCGACCCUGUACUACCGAAGCCUGAGCAACUUUGAUCCCACACUGAGCCUGAGGCCGGCAGCAGCUGGACGAGCUUCCUUAGGUCAUUACAUCCCUUCCCGGGCCCGUCCAGCCUUAUCGCCAGCAUCAGCUGCCCCCAGGUCUGUGUCAAAGAAGGUUCCGGAACAUCCCACUGAACCCUCCCUUUUCUGAAAAGGACGAGGACAUAUACUAUGGCUGCAAAUCUUCCGAUUUUGGGAAAGGCAGGCUCCUGAAUGUCUGAAGAUGUGACCUGAUGAGUUCUGGGUGACCGUGGGGAGCCCCUUCUCAGAGGCAGAUGAUCGGAGGUCUCCAGGAUGGUGAGCUCUGCAGCUGUCCAGAUGUUAGAAGCCUCUAGAAGGCCUGGUUUGUGUUGCAGGUCCCACGUCCGAGCCCAGACUCUCAGGGAGACCCAGGCCCUUGUCUUUAACCGGCUCCCAGGUGACCCGUGUGGGUCCCACAGCGAGAGAAGCAGCGUGCUGGUGGGAGCGGACUGUGGCUGGCAGUUGAAGCGCCCAGCACCCGCUCACCCACCCACCCGCUCACUCAACAGCCUCUCUCGUGGGGACUCGCUGGCGCAGGGGCCUGUGGUGAGCGAGCGGACCCGGGCCCCGGGGGCAUGGCCUUCACACUGAGCUGGGGGACAUGGUGUGUGGCCGCGGGGGCCAUGCGGGAAACGGUUGGCACC
rnacentral:lncRNA from 12 species